rnacentral:rRNA from 1 species
AUUGAACGCUGGCGGCAGGCCUAACACAUGCAAGUCGAGCGAGCGGCGGACGGGUGAGUAAUGUCUGGGAAACUGCCUGAUGGAGGGGAUAACCACUGGGAACGGUUGCUAAUAACGCCAUUCCUUCAAUGUUCCCAGAUGGGAUUAGCUAGUAGGUGGGGUAACGGCUCACCUAGGCGACGAUCCCUAGCUGGUCUGAGAGGAUGACCAGCCACACUGGAACUGAGACACGGUCCAGACUCCUACGGGAGGCAGCAGUGGGGAAUAUUGCACAAUGGGCGCAAGCCUGAUGCAGCCAUGCCGCGUGUAUGAAGAAGGCCUUCGGGUUGUAAAGUACUUUCAGCGGGGAGGCGUUACCCGCAGAAGAAGCACCGGCUAACUCCGUGCCAGCAGCCGCGGUAAUAC